CUGCAGAGGUGAUGUGGGGUGGUGAGACGUGAGGCUCAAGUGUGUGUGCGUGUAUACGUGCUGGAAAAAGAUCGGAUUUCUGUGUUAUGGCUGUGUAAAAGGAGCAACAUCUAUAUUUAAUGAAGCUCUCUGCUCGGCAGCCUACCUCCAAUGUCGCCUUUCAAGUGAUUUCCCUUGCUGCUUUCACUACCACAAGUUUAUCCCUCCUGGAGAGGCUAUUGAGCACUGAUGGGGAGAGGCGAAGGCAAGCACCAGCCCUCACCCAGCGCAAGGUCCAGCCAUCAGAGUGGGCAAAUCAGGGCCAUAAAAGCACAAAAAUCAGCCACGCUUUGUGCAUGGGUUUCAGCCACUUUGCCCGGUCUGGGAACAUUUUGCAGACAUUUCAAUAGAAAGCUACUGGUGCUUUCAUUGCUGCCUGUUCCUAUUGCCAGGCAUGGAAAGAACAAGUAUGGAGUGGAUCAAAAAAAAAAAAAAAAAGAAAACACAAACUUUUGUCAUUCUCAUCAGAAGGCAGAGCCACAGAGCUCUCCACAGAGGGACCAUUGUGCCUCUGAGCAUCCCACCAACGUUGGCUAGAUCUGGCCAAUACUCUAAUACUCUAUCAGGUGUCCCAGGCUAGCCUGGCAAAAGGUGGCAGAGCCCUCACAAAUGCCAACCUGAACAUCCUCAGUCAGAACACGGGUUGCAAGAAAUUCCA